rfam:Otolemur garnettii contig035262, whole genome shotgun sequence.
GCCAGGCAUUGUGGCGGAUGCCUGUAGUCCCAGCUACUCAGGAGGCUGAGGCAAGAGAAUCACUUAAGCCCAAGAGUUUGAGGUUGCUGUGAGCUGUGACACCAUGGCACUCUACCCAGGGCGACACAGUAAGACUCUGUCUCAAAAAAAAAAAAAAAAAUCUGAGGGGGGUUUGGGGAACCACUUUUUUUUUUUUUUAAACAUAGUCACUUGGUCACCCUGGGUAGAGUGCCAUGGUGUCUUAGCUCACAGUAACCUCAAACUCUUGGGUUCAGGUGAUCCUCUUGCCUCAG